CGGCGGAGAAACCCCGCGUGUUGUGUGCGGUACAGGAGGCCCUGGGCGCAGCCGCACGGUACCGGUGCCGGCCGUCUCCCUCGCGAGUGAGGAGUGGCGUCGCCACUGAAGGGCGAGGUGCUCCAUUCGUUCAAGAGCACAAUGGGUAGACUAAGCAAAUCACACUAUGUGGAUCUCCCUUAGAUGCAGCAGCCCUGAGUCUUUUGGUAUAGAUGAAGAUUGUCCAUUACAUGAUGACAUCAACGAAGAUACCUCCAAUGAGGUGACUCAGGCAUGUUGUUUCCUUACGGCAUAAUGUUACUUGCGGAAAUUGAAGAGUCUCAAACGGAAGAUCACUUCGAACAGAGUGCAUGAGGCUUCUCAAAAUAAUUUACAUCAGGCUAUGGGUUUUUCAAACUCGCAAUUUCUUUUUAAUCUUCAUUUCAGUACUGAUGCCAUAAGGUUUUUGUAUUUUUACAGUGGUAUACAUGUAAUUACUAACGCAUAUACAUGCUAAUGGUUUUCUUUUUGUAAGGAAACCUGUAUAUACAACUGGAUUUCCAUCUAUUUUUACUCAGGUUUUCCACUGGAUAUACAUGCUAGUUAAAAUGCUGCCA